GAUCGGCCAGGCCUUCUGGGUACCGAGCGGCGAACGGGUGAGUACACGUGAGUAACCUGCCCCGGGCUCUGGGAUAACUGUCGGAAACGAUGGCUAAUACCGGAUAUCACAUUUGGUCGCAUGGCUGGGUGUGGAAAGUUUUUCGGCUUGGGAUGGACUCGCGGCCUAUCAGCUUGUUGGUGGGGUGAUGGCCUACCAAGGCUUCGACGGGUAGCCGGCCUGAUAUGGCGAUCGGCCUCUCUGGGACUGAGACACGGUCCAUACUCCUACGGGAGGCAUCAGUGGGGAAUAUUGCUCAAUGGGCGAAAGCCUGAUGCAGCGACGCCGCGUGAGGGAUGACGGCCUUCGGGUUGUAAACCUCUUUCAGCAGGGACGAAUCGCAUGUGACGGUAUCUGCAUAAGAAGCGCCGGCCAACUACGUGCCAGCAGCCGCUGUAAG
rnacentral:rRNA from 1 species